rnacentral:rRNA from 1 species
ACGGAAGGCAGCAGUGGGGAAUAUUGCACAAUGGGGGAAACCCUGAUGCAGCGACGCCGCGUGAGUGAAGAAGUUAUUCGUAAUGUAAAGCUCUAUCAGCAGGGAAGAAAAUGACGGUACCUGUGAAGGAAGCUCCGGCUAACUACGUGCCAGCAGCCGCGGUAAUACGUAGGGAGCAAGCGUUAUCCGGAAUUACUGGGUGUAAAGGGAGUGUAGGCGGGACUGUAAGUCAGAUGUGAAAUAUGCCGGCUCAACUGGCAGACUGCAUUUGAAACUGCGGUUCUUGAGUGAAGUAGAGGUAAGCGGAAUUCCUAGUGUAGCGGUGAAAUGCGUAGAUAUUAGGAGGAACAUCAGUGGCGAAGGCGGCUUACUGGGCUUUAACUGACGCUGAGGCUCGAAAGCGUGGGGAGCAAACAGGAUUAGAUACCCUGGUA